ACGAACGCUGGCGGCGUGCUUAACACAUGCCAGUCGCACGGAAAGGCCCUGCUUGCAGGGUACUCGAGUGGCGAACGGGUGAGUAACACGUGGGUGAUCUGCCCUGCACUUCGGGAUAAGCCUGGGAAACUGGGUCUAAUACCGGAUAGGAGCCAUUUUUAGUGUGAUGGUUGGAAAGUUUUUUCGGUGUAGGAUGAGCUCGCGGCCUAUCAGCUUGUUGGUGGGGUAAUGGCCUACCAAGGCGGCGACGGGUAGCCGGCCUGAGAGGGUGGACGGCCACAUUGGGACUGAGAUACGGCCCAGACUCCUACGGGAGGCAGCAGUGGGGAAUAUUGCACAAUGGGCGCAAGCCUGAUGCAGCGACGCCGCGUGGGGGAUGACGGCCUUCGGGUUGUAAACUCCUUUCGCUAGGGACGAAGCUUUUUGUGACGGUACCUAGAUAAGAAGCACCGGCUAACUACGUG
rnacentral:rRNA from 1 species